UACCAAUCUUAUAUGACCAGAAACUGGCAGGAGAAGUAUAGCUCUCUACAGGGGGAGGUCCUGUGACACACCCCUAGGCCCUCCUUCCUCAUGAAUACAGUAAUGAGGGAGGGUCCCAAGAGUAAGAUAAAAAAGGGCACAGACCCAGGUGCCAGCUAACUCAUAUUGUGGGGCAUCCAUGUUCUUUUGGAUUGUGAGUUCACUGUUUCUAACUCAGCCUCAGGAGGGCACAAGAUCCCGGGUCUCUUGCACUGGGUCAGAAUUGGGCUGCUUUGGAAAUACCGUAAAGAGAGCUCUCUGCAACGCCGUGUUCAGCACAACCCCUGGCCCAUAGCUGUUUCAGACAGAUUUAUGACAAAGAGUACAAAUUAAAGAGCCACUGUACAUUGUAGUAUUCCUUCAGACUUCUGCUUGGUACAAGGAAUUACAUGUACAGGCCCUGAAUACAUUAAUGGGAUUGUUCAGAGAAUGCAGACUUGGCAUUUCUGGUAUAUUUGGCAAUUUCCAACUACCAGUGCUUCCAAAAAUACCACACAUCCUAGGCCACUAGGCAACAGCCCUGCUAGCUCCUUGUGGCCCUUCAAGUUAAGCUGGCUAUACCCACAAACUGCCCUUGCAAAAGAGCAGAUCUUUCAUCAAUAUGCCUACCUUGAGGUGGGCAAUAAUGGGCUGACCGGAUCGUUUGGCUGCUAUGCGGGCAGUCAGAUCAAGGACCACCUUAAUGUACCAAUGCCAUCCUUGAACCAAUUGGAAAAUCACACCUGUCUGAUCAACAUCUGUCUGAUUUUGAGCUGGAUAUCUGUUGGGUAGGCCCAUUAGAUGGACCCACACAUGGGCAGAUAAGCUGCCCAAUCUGUCUAAAAGAGCCAAAUCAGCAGUAUAAAUCUACAUAUGUAUGGCCAACGUUUAAGGAAUGAGGGUGUUCUCGAUCAAUCUACAGGCACUUCACUACCUUUCAGUAUAACGUUUCACAUAACACAGAUUGUUCGAGUCGUAAGAAAUGGCAAUGCACACAAUAGUAUAGAAAGGUAUAUUUAAACAUAACUUGCAUUUUAUAAAGCUCUGGUACCUUAGCUACUAUAUUAAAAUAUGAUCACCAACUGCAACCAUCCUAAUGUUUUUCUUUGAAGUAACACAAUGUGUACACAUUUCUGUUAUUUUGCCCUUCACACAUUUGUAAUCUUCAAUAAACAUCUGUAAAAUUUUUUCCAGUAA